GACGAACGCUGGCGGCGUGCCUAAUACAUGCAAGUAGAACGAGUUGCGAACGGGUGAGUAACGCGUGGUAACCUGCCUCAUAGCGGGGGAUACCUAUUGGAAACGGUAGCUAAUACCGCAUACCAUCAGAUGUGCCCAGAUGGGAUUGGCUAGUUGGUGGGGUAACGGCUAACCAAGGCGACGAUCCCUAGCUGGUCUGAGAGGAUGACCAGCCACACUGGAACUGCGCCACGGUCCAGACUCCUACGGGAGGCAGCCGUGGGGAAUAUUGCACAAUGGGCGAAAGCCUGAUGCAGCCAUGCCGCGUGUAUGAAGAAGGCCUUCGGGUUGUAAAGUACUUUCAGCGUGGAGGCGUUACCCGCAGAAGAAGCACCGGCUAACUCCGUGCCAGCAGCCGCGGUAAUUC
rnacentral:rRNA from 1 species